rnacentral:rRNA from 1 species
CCACGCCCGCUCAAGAAACUACGAAAGGAAGUUGGACGGGGGCCCCGCACAAGGCGGUGGAGCAUGUGGUUUAAUUCGAUGAUACGCGAGGAACCUUACCUGGGCUACAAAUGUAUGUUGACGUAUUCUGAAAGGGAUACUUCUCGGACAAUAUACAAGGUGCUGCAUGGUUGUCGUCAGCUCGUGCCGUGAGGUGUCGGGUUAAGUCCCAUAACGAGCGCAACCCCUAUCAUUAGUUGCCAUCAGGUCAAGCUGGGGACUCUAAUGAAACUGCCUACGCAAGUAGUGAGGAAGGUGGGGAUGACGUCAAAUCAGCACGGCCCUUACGUCCAGGGCUACACACGUGCUACAAUGGCCGAUACAGAGGGCAGCUACCUGGUGACAGGAUGCAAAUCUCCAAAGUCGGUCUCAGUUCGGAUCGGAGUCUGCAACCCGACUCCGUGAAGUUGGAUUCGCUAGUAAUCGCGCAUCAGCCAUGGCGCGGUGAAUACGUUCCCGGGCCUC